rnacentral:rRNA from 1 species
AGAGUUUGAUCCUGGCUCAGGACGAACGCUGGCGGUGUGCUUCACACAUGCAAGUCGAGCGAAUGAAGAAGGUAGCUUGCUACUUUUGGAUUUAGCGGCGGACGGGUGAGUAAUAUAUAGGAAUCUGCCCUAGAGCGGGGAACAACAGACCGAAAGGUUUGCUAAUGCCCCAUAGGUACGCAGUCUUCGGAUUGUUUAUUAAAGGAGUAAUCCACUCUAGGAUGAGCCUGUAUCCGAUUAGCUAGUUGGCGGGGUAAAGGCCCACCAAGGCUACGAUCGGUAGUUGGUCUGAGAGGAUGAUCAGCCACAAUGGGACUGAGACACGGCCCAUACUCCUACGGGAGGCAGCAGUGGGGAAUUUUACACAAUGGGGGAAACCCUGAUGUAGCGACACCGCGUGAACGAAGAAGCCUUUUGGGGUGUAAAGUUCUGUCGGCUGGAACGAAAAAAAUGACGGUACCAGCAAAGGAAGCAUCGGCUGACUACGUGCCAGCAGCCGCGGUAAGACGUAGGAUGCAAGCGUUGUCCGGAUUUAUUGGGCGUAAAGAGUUCGUAGGCGGUUAUUUAAGUCUGGUGUUAAAUACUGUGGCCCAACCACAGAACUGCAUUGGAUACUGGAUGACUUGAGUGCGGUAGAGGCGAGUGGAAUUCCCAGUGUAGCGGUGAAAUGCGUAGA